UACGAAGGGGGCAAGCGUUGUUCGGAAUGACUGGGCGUAAAGGGCGCGUAGGCGGUUCGUUGCGUCAGAUGUGAAAGCCCCGGGCUCAACCUGGGAAUUGCAUUUGAGACUGCGUAGCUAGGGUGCGGAAGAGGGAAGCGGAAUUUCCGGUGUAGCGGUGAAAUGCGUAGAUAUCGGAAGGAACACCAGUGGCGAAAGCGGCUUCCUGGUCCAGCACCGACGUUCAGGCACGAAAGCGUGGGGAGCAAACAGG
rnacentral:rRNA from 1 species